AGCCGGUGAUUACAGAUUGAAGAUCAAUCAAGGGGUUGGGCUCAGAAAAAACUAAGCGCCCCUCCCCCGAGUAUAAAGGUUAUUUCCACAGAGACCACGCAGGCCUUCGAGGCCAUGAUGGAGAUGUCGGGUUUUAUCCUAAAGGCAAGGAGAAGCCCAGUGGAAGGAUUUUAACAGGCAGAGCCAAGAUCCGACUUAUGUUUUAAGACAUCGCCCUGGUUGCCACAGAAGAAAGAACUGGGGGCGCAGGGCCCCGAGAGGAACCAGAGGGUACAGCGGAGGGGUAUGACAGCAGCCGAGAGAGCAUUGUGCUGGCUUGGCUCAGGGGGGACAGUGAAGAUGGGGAGAAGACGAAACAUUUGAGAAAAGUGGUGGGGAAAACCAAGAGGACAAAUUCGAGCGUAAUUGUUUGACUAUGCGGGUGAACGGGAAGAAGGCGCUGCAGGAGGCGCCCAGGGACGAGAGUGACUCAGCGGGAGGCGCUGCGAUCGCGGAGCCGGAGCUGGGCUGGGAACAGGAGCGCUACACCGACCCCGGAGAAUCGGAGUCGACGUCGGGCGGGGGUGUAGAUUUGCGCUUUGUGGGCAUGCGCGGGGGUAGGGGCGGGGCUGGGAAGGGUGAGGUGGGGGAGGCCUGAGAGAGCCCCUCCAGGCAACCGCACAGCGGCCGGGACUUCUCCGCAGGCGCAGUGUCGGGGGGCGUUGGGGCAGAAACGGGGGGGCAGGAUGUGAAAGUCCCGAAUAAAGCCUGCGCGCCCGAGGUCCCGGUGUGGCGCCCCUAGAGGGGCCAGGCGUCAGGGCGGGUUUCCAAAUCCUGUUUUGUUUGAAAGUAGGAAAAACGUGACUGUAUUUAAAUGAUGACAGGAGGGGGCUGAUGACUGCGUACUGGAGUCUUCCCUGUCUGACGGUGAGGACGUUGAGGCCCGUAAAAUGCUGGUCACCGUGGCCAACAUCACAGGGCCAGCGAGUCCCAGACAUCUGGCAGGAAAUUUCAGAUGGAACAUGUGAUCGUGGAGCCGGAGUGGACCUUAGCGACCAUCUAGUCCGGACAGAGUAAAGAGUACCCUCAGUACUUGCUGAGGUCGGAGUCCUCCUGACCCCUCUCUGAGAGGCACAUGGCGUCCUAGGAGGGUUCAGCCGCCGGGAGACCUGGGCUCCAUCUCCUCUGAGACAGGACACUGCCCUCCAUGUCUGCCAACUUCUAAAACAAGGGGGUUGAAUGAAAUCCUGCAACUAAGCUUUCUAGCUAUUCUAAAAUUAGAACGUGAAUAGUUAUAUUAAAGUCACAGGAAUGUC